CCCCGCCUUACACUCGGCCAUGCCGCC
rnacentral:tRNA from 1 species